rnacentral:misc_RNA from 1 species
AAUAUAAUAGACGGCAGGAUGCUGUAGUGGACAGUCCAGGGUGGUGGGCUCGAGGAUAGCGAAGUCAGUUUUCGUGUUGUUAACCCGGAUUCUGGACAACGAGGAAGACGUUCGGAUAGUGAAGUGGUCUCGGUUCUAAUGAAACGGAAGACUGUAUAACAGACAGUGAAGUACAUCAAGCAGGAACAGUGAAACUUACUUGAAGGAAAGUGAAAAUAUCUUCAGCAGAGCGAACAGAACUGCUUAAGAAUACAGUGAACGAGUCAUAAUAAAGUUGUCAACAGUGACAGUGCACUGGAUGACAAAAUGAUUUUAAAAGUUAUAAUUGCGUUUAUCCUUCUUAAAUUUAUAACAGCCAGUGAAGUGUGCUGUGGGUCUGCCACUCGAGGCCAACGUCUUUAUGUCGACGUCAGCUCUGACUCAGACUUCCAGCUGUGGCUUAAGAUGGAGAGGAAGCACACUCAAGUCACCCUGCAUGUUCAAGGGAGAGGUACAAAUAACGAAAAAAAAAACUUUCAUCAAAGGUUCCUAUGGCACAACACUGAAGACUACAAAGGUUUUCCCAGCAACCAGAACGUGACGAACCGUCUUGGAAUUACCAAUGAGGUCAUUUUAAGCGUGGGAAUUACAGCCACCGCUCCUAUAGAAUUGAUCGUCUGCAGAAACUCCUUCAGUACCAACGCCGGUAAGGAGACCAAGCCGGUCCCCAUCAUAGAUGCCGGUAAGGAGACCAAGCCGGCCUCCAACAACACAGUAACUACCGAGCCGGCCUCCAACAACACAGUAACCACCGAGCCGGCCUCCAACAACACAGUAACCACCGAGCCGGCCUCCAACACAGUAGAAGUGUGGGUGCUGGUGGUGCUGGAGGUGCUGCUGGUGGUGGAGCUGGUGGUGGUGAUAGCUGUAGCAGACUACAUGCACCACUCGUGGACGAAUCAAACCUAAUCUUUCCCUCUGCGACUGUCUGGUUGAGUGCCUCCUGCAGCUGCGCCUCCGUCACCACGCAGCGGGGCGCCUCUGCCGGAUGGUCUCCAGGAUAACAUCUACGAGGAGUGGCAGGAGUGGCAGGAGUGGCCGGCUAUCGCCACACCAGCACCAACAAGGAUAAACACACACAAGGAUAACAUCCAGAAACUAAAAAUGGGGAUGUUUCAAGUAAACUAAAAUCAAAUGAAAUCUUUAGUAUGUAAAUAACUAAAUAGAACACCCGGCGGUACCCGGGUCUCUCUCUCCCUCCUUCCCCGCUCCCCCUUCUCAUCUCUCAUCUCCCUUUCCCUAGCCUCCAAUCUACCCCUCUCCCUCCCCCUCUCUAACUUUCUCUCCUAUUCUCCCCAUAUUCUCUCCCUCCCUAUUCCUCUUUAAUUCUGGUGACUAUGACAAGCCGAUGUUCAUCCCGUACCCCAGACCAUUCCCCAUGCAAAGUUGGGUGAGGAUAAUCACAAGCAACUGGCCUCGAACCUUGGAGUGACAGACAGACAGACAUUCUCUCUUAGAUAUAAAGUGUAGACAUAAAUGGUUAUAUUUACAAAACACACGUACAUUAAAGUUUUACUCAAGGAAAGUAAUGCAAACAUUCAAAUUUGUAUUAUAAUAAUACAUUAUAUAUUAUAAAACUUGUAAUUGUAUUAUGUCUCGACUGAAUAAAUAAAAAACUCAGGCAAAUGUGUCUCUUAUUUUAUAUUCACAAGUGUGGGUGUGUUGGGUCUAAUUUUCAGCCCCGUUAUUAUGACUUACUGUCUGCAAUACUAGGAAAAUUACUAGUUACGAUACUAGCAACAUUACUAGUUACGAUACUAGCAACAUUACUAGUUACGAUACUAGCAACAUUACUAGUUACGAUACUAGCAACAUUACUAGUUACGAUACUAGCAACAUUACUAGUUACGAUACUAGCAACAUUACUAGUUACGAUACUAGCAACAUUACUAGUUACGAUACUAGCAACAUUACUAGUUACGAUACUAGCAACAUUACUAGUUACGAUACUAGCAACAUUACUAGUUACGAUACUAGCAACAUUACUAGUUACGAUACUAGCAACAUUACUAGUUACGAUACUAGCAACAUUACUAGUUACGAUACUAGCAACAUUACUAGUUACGAUACUAGCAACAUUACUAGUUACGAUACUAGCAACAUUACUAGUUACGAUACUAGCAACAUUACUAGUUACGAUACUAGCAACAUUACAGGUACUGUAAAUGUACUAGCAACAUUUAUAGUUAGGCUGCCACAGUAACACAGCAAGAACCGUUUAGAGAGUGUGUAUGUGUGUGUGUGUGUGUGUGUAUGUGUGUGCUGGGAAAAACACACGUGAAGCGGAUUUCCACCCAAGAUAAUAACACACAAAGUCAACCAGAUAAGGAAAAAGAGAAGAUGACAUUCUGAGGAGGAGAGACCUGGUCACUGUACGUUGGGGCGACGGUGUGGACGUGUGGAUAGUGAACGACGUACAAGCGUUGUCCAGUACACGUCUGGACGUCCAGUAGACAAGCCAGGAUAGUUGGAUGAACAUCUGGAUAUUACAGGUGACGUCUGGAUACAAAUUUCGUGUAUUAUUCGGGAUGUGAAUGUCUGGAUAGCGUAGUGGUAUAACGAAUCGGACAACUGGAUAAAGAAGAGGUCUCAGGAUUACCAACGGGAAGGUCGCACAGUGAAGUGGAUCAAGAAUGCUUAGUGAAUUUUACUUCAAGAAAGUGAACACCCUGUGUAGUCAACUGGACUUUUGUGUUUGACAAAUAAAUAAGGAAAAGGCAAUACCCGAUAAUUAUAGUGAAGGUGACGACAACGACAGUGAAAUGGGCAAGAAAGUGAUUCUGACCGUGAUUGGUCUCUCUUUUCUUCUGAAGUUUACCACUAGUGAAGGGAGCUGUGAGCCGCCCCGUCGAGGUCAACACCUUUACUACAACGUAACAUCUGACCCAGACUUCCGACUGUGGCUGAAGAUGGAGGAGAAGAACACUAAUCUUAAAACAAGUCUUUUACUGGACUCCGGCACAGCUCCAGUUCCUAAGUUCCAGAUGUUUGUGUGGUCCAACACGGACGUCUACAAAGGUUUCUCCAAUAAACUCAUUAUGACAGAAUUUGGAAUUACUGGUAAAAACAUAAGUCACGUCACUAUUGGGGCCAACGCUAGUAUGGAAUGGAUCUACUGUACGAAUUCCUUCACUUUCCCCGCACCCAACAACCCAAAUGCAUCCAGUGUUCCGGCCUCCGACAACAAAGUGAUGACGGUUGUGGUGGUGGUGGUGGUGGUACUGGUGAUGGUGCUGCUGGUGGUGGUGGUGAUGCUGGCAGCUGCCGGAGCCUACAUACACCGCCUCGGGAAGACUCAUAAUAAAUCCACCAAGCCGGUCGUCAACAAAGAACAAGUGGCAGUGUUGGUGGUGCUGGUGCUGCUGCUGGUGGGGGAGCUGGUGGUGGUGGUGAUUACUCUUGUCUAACCUCCAUCCACCACUCCAGGACGACUCAACCUUAAUCUUUCACUGAGUGACUGUCUGGUUGUCUGCCUCCUGCAGCUGCGCCUCCGUCACCACGCAGCGGGCCGCCCCUGCAGGAUGGUCUCCAGGAUAACAUCUACGAGGAGUGGCAGGAGCGGCCAGCUAUCGCCACAGCUGCACCAGCAAGGAUAAACACACACAAGGAUAACAUCCAGAAACUAAAAAUGGAGAUGUUUCAAGUAAACUAAAAUCAAACGAAGUCUUUAUUAUGUAAAUAACUAAAUAGGGCACCCGGCGGUACCCGGGUCUCUCUCUCCCUCCUUCCCCGCUCCCCCUUCCAAUCUCUCAUCUCCCUUUCCCUAUCCCCCAAUCUUCCCCUCUCCCUCUCUAACUUUCUCUCCUCUUCUCUCCCUUCCUCUCCUCUAACCCCUUUGAAAUCUGUUCGACCUUUCUCUCCAUCUCACACUUCUCACCCCUCUGCACCCUCUCUCUCUCUCUCUCACCUCUCCACCUAUCUCCCAUUCUCUUCCUCCCUCUCUUCAAAUAACCCCCCCCCCCCACCCUCCCACCGUUUUCUUCUCUCUCUCCAAUCCCAACCAUUCUCCACCCUUAUCUUUCCUUAUCCUACUUAUCUCUGUCUCUGUUUGUUUCUAAUAUACAAAUAUAAUAGUUACUCUAUUUGCAUUGAGAAAGGGGCGGGGCUUGAGAAAGCUUUCCAAGCUGUGGGAGGAUCUUUUGUUUUAUGCUACUACGACAAAAAUAUGAAUAGCAGAAAUGCUCAUUUUAUCGAAGGUAUUGAAUAAUAUAUUACUAUAUAAAAUCGUCGUGGGGGUCAGACUGUGACUCGCAUGCUGCUUCCUCUUUAAUUCUGGAGACUCCGACAAGCCUAUGUUAAUCCCGUACCUCGGACCAUUCCCCAUGCACAGUUGGGUGAGGAUAAUCCCAAGCAACUGGCCUCGAACCUCGGAGUGAGAGACAGACAUUCUCUCUUAAAUAUAGAUUGCAGACAUAUAUGGUUAUAUUUACAAAAUACAAAAACAUAAAAGAUUUACUCAAGGAAAAUAAUAAAAACAUUCAAAUUUGUAACAUAAUAAUAAAUUAUAUAUAAUAACACGUAAUUGCGUUAUGUUUUAACUGAAUAAAUAAAAAUUCAAGCAAAUGUG